CCAAAAAUGUUACUGCCCAGUGCCCACCCAUUCCCCGGAGAGAAAAAAAUAGACCCUUAGACUAGUAUGACGGUAUUUCCAGUGUUACUUUUCCCUCUGACAUUCAAACGAAGAAACAUGUGUCACUUCAAAGUGAAACUAAACUGACGGAGGCGACUGAUCCAGCAGGCUUAACUCUAGCCAACAUAGCCACAUGACUAUCUUUGCGGGUAUUCUUUGGAUAUACUUCUCAGGUAUUCUUUGAAACCCUGUUUCACCUGACGAUAUGGGCUUUUUACCGACAGCCAGCCAUGGCUGUGAUUCUCCAUUACAUGCACUGUGAAUCGGACAUGACCAAUGUGUCUGUAUGCUCUGGCAUGGUCACUUAUUUUACUACCUCUUGGAUUCUGCUGUGAAGGCCCAAAGAACAAAAGCGAGAUUACAAUGGAUUACCAACAUGCAAUCAUGCCACUCCUGCAGGCAAUACACUUGGAUGUUACCAAAGACAUCAAUGCAACCUGCACAGAGAAGAAAAGAAGUCCUCAGGAGUUUCGGGAGACUUUUCCGACAGAGGCAAUGGUGGGAGCCGUGUGCGCAGUGAUUUGCAGACAUUCAAAUAAAGAUUUUUGUUUUGGAGAACCCACGAGACUGCAGAGCACACAAAAACCCAUGACACUACAGAACCCACCAGAACCCACGAGACUGCAGAAGUUGAGUGUCGAUAUCCAAGCGUCCCUUUGCUGUAAAUGUAAAACAAAGAAGGUUAAACGAGACACAAGGCAAAAAGAGAGUGAAUGUGAAUCGCAGAAGAAAAGGGACAAGAAACUUUGCACUCUGAAACACUGGCUGGAGAGGAUAAAGGACCUGUACAGUCAAUUCAACGCAACUUGAGGGGAACUUUCCGAUGGCAGGAUGACAGGACAUUAUUGUCAUGAUGGCCCCACACUGCCAAAGCACUGGUGCAAACAGCUGUGGGAUUACAUCAAAGAUUCUUUAACGUCUCUGAUUACAUACACCUCAAGGACACAAGAAGGACAUGUUUGUUGACCUCUCUCAAGUGCCUUUACCAGGCAUGGGGAACCGGUUUCAUUCGAGGGACACUUUAAACUUUAUAAAGUCCUCCAAGGGCCGUACUAUGAACACAAACCAGGAUUCCCCUGCACUUUAAACCUAUAUUGAAGGUGGCCACCUUUACGUCAGACCCCACCUUCUCUAGGUCUCCUGGAUAUAUAACUUAAUUAUAUUGCACAUGUAAUUUGUAAGAUUCCUUUACCUAAAACAUGUCAUAUUUCAUGUGAAACUGCAUAAUAUUAAAAUUAUAUUAGCUGCCGGAUAAGACAGCCUCAAGGGCUAUAAGCGGCCCUUGAUAGGCUCCCCGGCCCUGGCCUAUACUAUAAGAACGGAUAUGGAGGAAAAUGGAAUGGCUAUGCACUUGGCAGUAGGCCUAUUGGUACAGUAUGACUAACUAUCAAAUUCGAACCUGUAUAACAUGUCAAAAUGCCCGAUUCAUGAAUCACAGAUUCUGUGUUGCAAUAGCCAUUUUUGAAUGUCUCCCAAAGUCACUUCACUCGUGCCAUCAGGUGCAUUAUUACCAACACUCUACCGACUGGUUUCACAGGCCCAAUUUGUCAGACUCAUGAAGACCCUCUUGGAAAGUCGUAAAAGCCUGCAGCCAGGGUUGCCACUUCUGAAAAAGAAAAAUAACCCUGGACAUUUGGAACUCAAUCAACCCUUUUUCUUGGGUUGGCAAUGGCAUCCUUCAGUCAGUAUGCAGGGGAAAAAAUCUCCGGGACAAACCAUUCAAAACAGUCUUCCAUCUCCGGCGCUGCACUGCUGUGAUGAGUGCCAGUCAGUGCGUCACUGCCAGUCAGACAAUCAGGUAAAGCCAGGACAUGUAGCCACAAUAUCUACUGUAUGCACACACUAAGGAUCUGUUUCCAGGUAGCAGGAUAUUUUUAAAUGUGGAUUUUUGUUCUCCUGUUUACAUUGGUUUUGGCAAGAGAUGGUAUCUAACAAGCAACCAUCUCUGUUUUGGCCCCCUGUUUCCACGGAAACAUGGCCAUACAGAGGAACUCCUUUAGCCCAAAUCCCUUCCGCAUUGCCAGGGUUGUUCCAUAGCCGUCCACUGCAUUCCCCACGCUGUCCUGAAUGAUGGGAGUCCAGCUGUGACUAUACAUGUGAUAGCAUACAUGUUUAAGUAAACAUUCAUGUAUAACAGCACUUGUAUAUGACAUAGCAUGAGAAUGCAAUGACAUAAGACACACGGUUAAAUAAAUGUUCGUGUUUGGAACCAAAUGUGAAAAUGGGUUUUACUGUAGGCUAGUACUGUGGUAGUGAAUUGGCUAUAGUUUUAUGUUGUUGCAUAGUGAUUAACGUAAUGUUGCCUUCCACAGUCAUGGCGACAUGCCCAUCAUAGACGUCACUGUGAACCUAGAAUGAGUCAGGAAUGAGUCAACAAUCUUUGGCGGCACUCUGGCUAAAUCCCCAGACUGGAUAAGCAAUGAGUGCAUUCCAAUAUGCGGACUCCCGUUUUCCACUUGUGCUUGUGGCCUCACGUUUUGUUGACGCCCAGCCCUGUGGAGAAAACAAUAGUCUCUCCGCUGUCAGCCUAACCACAACAACUUUUGGGGGACUGUUCUUCAUUCACCAUCUCGAUAGCAAACGAGAAAAUGAUAGUAGAAUUGCACUUUCGCAAGACAUUGAAUUCAUUUUCUGUCGUCAGUGACAUUGUCACAAGGUCACAAGCAGGCAAGUGAGGACAGGACUCCACAUAUAGGAAUCCACCCAAUUUGUUGCUGGUCUUCUACAGGAAGUAGAGGAAUUCUAAACGUUGUAUGUUCAUUAGUGUUUUGUAAAAUAAGUAAAAGUCAUGCAUCUAGAACAAACAACCCAGAUUAUACAUUAGGUUUGGUUAUAUUUGAACACAUUUGCUUUUGAGCAUUCUACUAUUUCUUUUCUUGAAUGAAACUGGACAUUUCACAUUUUUUUGGUGAGCUCGG